rnacentral:rRNA from 1 species
UACGAAGGGGGCUAGCGUUGUUCGGAAUUACUGGGCGUAAAGGGCGCGUAGGCGGUCUUGUAAGUCUUGUGUGAAAUCCCUCGGCUUAACUGAGGAACUGCACGGGAUACUGCGAGACUUGAGUUCGGAAGAGGGAAGCGGAAUUCCGGGUGUAGCGGUGGAAUGCGUAGAGAUCGGGAAGAACAUCAGUGGCGAAGGCGGUCUGCUGGGCCGUUGCUGACGCUGAGGCGCGACAGCGUGGGGAGCAAACAGG